rnacentral:rRNA from 1 species
CUACGGGACGCUCCAGUGGGGAAUAUUGGACAAUGGGCGCAAGCCUGAUCCAGCAAUACCGCGUGUGUGAAGAAGGCCUGCGGGUUGUAAAGCACUUUCAAUUGUGAAGAAAAGCCUGGGGUUAAUACCCUCGGGUCUUGACGUUAACUUUAGAAGAAGCACCGGCUAACUCCGUGCCAGCGGCCGCGGUAAUACGGAGGGUGCGAGCGUUAAUCGGAAUUACUGGGCGUAAAGCGUGCGUAGGCGGCUAGGUCAGUCAGAUGUGAAAGCCCCGGGCUUAACCUGGGAACUGCAUUUGAUACUGCCUGGCUAGAGUAUGGUAGAGGGAAGUGGAAUUCCGGGUGUAGCGGUGAAAUGCGUAGAUAUCCGGAGGAACACCAGUGGCGAAGGCGACUUCCUGGACCAAUACUGACGCUGAGGUACGAAAGCGUGGGUAGCAAACAGGAUUAGAUACCCUCGUAGUC